UACAGAGGAGCCAAGCGUUGUCCGGAUUGACUGGGCGUAAAGCGCGCGCAGGCGGAUGCACGCGUCCCGCGUGAAAUCGCCCGGCUCAACCGGGCGGGGUCGCGGGAUACGGUGCGUCUGGAGCACGGGAGGGGGCAGUGGAAUUCCCGGUGUAGUGGUGGAAUGCGUAGAGAUCGGGAGGAACACCAGUGGCGAAGGCGACUGCCUGGACCGUGGCUGACGCUGAGGCGCGAAAGCGUGGGGAGCGAUCCGG
rnacentral:rRNA from 1 species